UCCUCGAGAGCGGCGCCCGCCCCGCCGCUCCGCCCCGGUUUCAGUCGCGAAGGACGCGGCGUCGGUUGGUUACCAACAUGGCGAAGGCUCGGGUGCCGCCACCUUUGCUUUCGCCGGGCACCGUCUUCGCAGUCGCAGCUGCCGUCGCCACCACAGUCCCUAGCGCCGCACCGCGGGACCCGGGGCUGCCGCGACCAAGCUUCUGGCGCUGGUGACGCGGGGCCUGAGAGAACCGAGCUGCCAUGAGGGAGGAGGCGCUCGGGGCCAGAGAGGAGGCGGCGCUGAGGUGAAGGAUGCUGGCCGGGAGGCCGGGAGCCAGGAGCGCCGUAGCUGGCCUGGGCGCUGACUCCUCCGACCCCGGUGGCAGAGCGCCCCUCAGCCCUCGAGAGAGCGCCGGGCGUCGCCGACCUGCCGCUUACCUUGAUAUGAAAAUACAUUUAGAGAAAAAUUUAGAAGAGGAGCGCCAGAUAUUAUUACAACAACAAAAAAUAUGCCGAAGUCGAGCACGUAAACAUUUUGUGGAUUCAAACCGGAGAAAAAAAGCUUUUGAAGAAAAACGAAAAGAACAAGAAGAAAAAGAAUACCAAAUCAGAGAACAAAUUCUUCAAGAAAGAAAACAGAAACUUGAAGAAGUUACUGAAAAAUUUCAGCGUGCCCAUAUACCUCUUUCUCAGCGGAGGAGAGCAGCUUUUCAAAAACCAGUUCCUCCGUUAGAAGAAGCCCUGAAACAAAUUCAGGAAUCUAACUUUAAUUCAGAAGUAAACAUCCCAUUUUCCUACAGACAAACAGUGAAUUGGAAAGCUGUAGAUUCUGCCUUGCCUUCACCAUUGUCAAAAAAUGAACAAAAGUGUCAGAAACAUCUCUUAACCAAAAACGACUGUGCCAAGGAAAUGAAGGAAAACAGUGGGGCAAACCUGGCUCCUAAGAAAAAUGUAUUCCAGCUUAAACUAGAGGAAACUGAGAAACUCCUAAAAGAUCAACACCUAAGCAGCUUGCAAAAAUUUUGUGAUGAAGUUAAUCGAAUAACCAAUUCUGAAACCCUCUCAAGUGUUGACAGCCUGGAGGUUGGAGAACGUGAAGAAAUAUAUUUAGCACUUAAUGAAGAACCUUCCACAUCUGUCCAUCCAAAUUCUCUUUCCCUUGGAUCUACAAAUCUACAGUCAACUAAUAAUGCAGACUACUUUGUUGAAGAUAAGUUGUCAUUCUCUAAGACUGAGCAUAUAAAUAAUUGGUUAACAAAUUUAGAUGUUCCAAAUUCUCAUACUGCAGUACCUUUUUCAGAUAUUUUAAGUCAACCUAAUAUUGUGCCUUCCAGAGAACACUUCAGUAAUAAAGAACAAAGCCCAGGUACUUUGAGCAGAACCAUGGAAAGAGCCACAAGUCCUGCUAAUAAUUCAGAAGGCUUUGUGUACAGUAUACCUAUGCUUGUACUCGACAAAAAAAGUGAAAAACCCUCUGAACCCAGCACCAAGAGGACAAGUGACUGCACUUCUAGAGCGUUCCACAGUGAGAGGCCAUUAGUAACUGAGAGCCCAACGUUUAAACUCAGUAAAGCCUGGACUGCUCCAGAUUGCGUAGCUCAGGAGGUGGCUGCAUUUUCAGACCAACAGAAACACUCAGAACUAACUCAAGCAAAUGUAAUUACUUCAGUUCCUACUUCAUUUGUAAUGACAACGCCUCUGUUUCUGCCAUCUACUACACAAUCAGCUAGGCCUUUAGUGAAACACGAUAUACACAUUAAAGAAAUCAACCCAGUGCAGUGUUCUGAUAAGUUAGAUGAAUUCAAAGAUGUUAAUGAUGAAAAGGCAAAAUAUAAUUGUAAUAAUAAAGAGUUGCCUUUAUUUUCAGACAGUCUGGAAGCUGCCCAUAUACCUCACAAUCCUAAUUCAAAAGAUAAAAAGCAAAAAACCGAGACAUCAAUAUCCCUGUCUAAUAUAAUUCCUAAUUAUGAUUUAGUUAGCCAACACAAGAAAAUGAAAUACAACAUUCAUGAGAGAAAUAGUGUGAGGUUCCUUAAAAGUAUUUUAAAAAAAGAAUCUAAAUAUGAACAUGAUUAUCUUAAAGCAAUUAUUAUAAAUCAAGGCUUUAUACUUGGAAAUCAAAAAGCAUCAGCUAUCAGAGAUAGUAUUGAAUUAACAAAGCAAAAAGGGAAAAAUGCAGAAAUCCCAAAGACUAUUAAAAAACUGAGGUGGUUUGACGAAACUGGUGAUACAGAAGACAGUGCUGGGGAUAGCCCUGUGCAGAAUAGAGCAGAAGUCACCAAGCAGUGGUCUCCAGAAUCGCCCAUUAAAAAUGCUAACAGCAACAUCAUUAGUGUUCCAGCUUGUGCUGCAAAUGCAAAUGAUAGAAUGAAGCCCGGUGAUGUUUCUGGCUCUCACAGUGUUAGUGCUUUAGGAAGAAAUGGGCCAGAUCAUGUGCCUUUGAACUGCUUUCUACCGUCAGGUUAUCAUUUUGCUAAACAAGCUUGGUCAGCCUCAACUAAAGAAGAAGGUAAAAUAUCUGUUCAUAAUGGCGACUCUAAAACUCAGAAAGAUGAUCCACAAAGAGGUGGGACAAAAGUCAUUAGAAGAGCAGCAUCUGCCAAAGUCCAGCCAGGCAAUAUACGUACAAAUAGAAAAGGCACUGGUGUUCAGCCAUUGUCCACAGGCAAAGCCAACACAUUUAUACAAACUCAGGGCAAACUCAUUGCACCUCAACCCCCUCCUAAACCUACUUCAGAUAUUAAAAUUGGUAAAAAUAAACAAGUGUUUCACUGUCAAACAGCCAUUCCUGAAAUGUCUCAAAAUACUAUUGGAUGUAAUUAUUUCAAUUCAACACAUUCACUUCCAACAAAGCAUAAUUUGAAUCAGUGGAGGCAAGAAUGUGGUCCUCAAUUCUCAGAGGCUUCUUCCAACCUAGUCACUGUGAUACCAUCUCUACCAUCUUACUAUUCUUCUGAGUGCCAUACUUUACCCAAAAGACAUCAUUCAAAUGGCACUCAAAUGAUUAUUCAGCAAGAUGGGACAUUAUAUUGCACUCAGAGAACUCCUGUUUAUGAAGAAAGUUGUAAGCCUGGAGCUCUUGAAACUAUUGAGGAAGAGUCAGUUUUCUUGUGGAAAACAGGGAAGAAUAUUCUACAUCGAAAUGGGAGGUCUACCGAUUCUGCUGCCACAAGAAGAAAACGAGUUGUUGGAAAAAAGCAGAGAAAUCUUUUUGCACAAAAAAGGCAGAACACUGGAUCUGUAAGACAGAAGUACAAUGAACAAAUUAAUAAUUUGGGACCAAGUAUCCAGCUAGUUUCAAGUGAGCCAAAACAAUCUACAAGGGGUAUGUCUAAUAUUGAAGAAGUUUCAGAAAGUACUUCUGAGUUUUUGAUGGCUGAAAACCUGGUGAAUGCAUCGGUACCUGAGGAUGAAAUUUUAACUGUCAUGAAGAGCAAGCAGACAGAGAAACCAAGUCUGAUUUCAAAUAAGACUCAGCAAUUCAACAUUUGUGCACUGUCAGCUGAAGAACAGAAGAUCCUACAGUCCCUUGAUCACCUCAAUGAAAAAUUGCACUAUCUACAAGAAACCAUGAGCAAACACUCAUCCGUCAAAAAUGCCUUUCAAAUAGUACCAUUUAUGACUACUGUAAAGAUGUAGAUUUAUUAGAGCCUGAAACUUCUCAAAUAUUCUGGAGCAGGAGUUUAUGCACUAUGAAAAUCCCACUGCUUCUGCAGUUCUUCCAGUGCCCUUUAAUGAAUGUUGACCAGCCAGCCAAGAGCCAGUCCAUCUCCUGAUGUUGGAUCCAGAUUACAAAGAAAAUUCUGAUGCAGUAUAAUAGUAACUAUUUAAUGGAAUCUUUAUUUUUGAAAAUAUUCUGUAAAUGUGUUAUAUGUCUCUGCAUUUAUUAAUGAUUAAAAAUACUAUAACCAUAAAAUCAAAUUAGAUCAUAACAUGGGUAAUGGAAAUAAAUUGACUAAUUCACAUUUAUGCAUUACAUU